rnacentral:rRNA from 1 species
AUUGAACGCUGGCGGCAUGCUUUACACAUGCAAGUCGAACGGCAGCACGGGCUUCGGCCUGGUGGCGAGUGGCGAACGGGUGAGUAAUGCAUCGGAACGUACCGUGUAAUGGGGGAUAACGUAGCGAAAGUUACGCUAAUACCGCAUACGCCCUGAGGGGGAAAGCGGGGGAUCGUAAGACCUCGCGUUAUACGAGCGGCCGAUGUCGGAUUAGCUAGUUGGUGAGGUAACGGCCCACCAAGGCUACGAUGUCUAGGGGUUCUGAGAGGAUUAUCCCCCACACUGGUACUGAGACACGGACCAGACUCCUACGGGAGGCAGCAGUAAGGAAUAUUGGUCAAUGGGCGCAAGCCUGAACCAGCCAUGCCGCGUGAAGGAUGACGGCCCUAUGGGUUGUAAACUUCUUUUGUACGGGAAAAACCUCUGGUCGAGAAUCAGAGCUGAUGGUACCGUAAGAAUAAGCAUCGGCUAACUCCGUG